rnacentral:lncRNA from 1 species
GGCCUCCUCAAAGAAGGCUGCUGACCACUGCUGGUGGUGUGAGCAGGCCACAGGCCCAACAGCUGCAGCACCCAUUGCUAUGACCAGCGCCGAAGCUGUGCCCAUGCCUCCAGCCCAUCCUACUUUAGAAUGAGGGUACCUGUUGGAGGAGGCAAAGGCUCUGAAAGGAAGAAGUGUGCCCAGCAGAGAUUACAGCAGCUCCACUUUGAAGUUCGCUGAUUUGUUUUCACUCCUGAGGACAUCAGCCUGAAGUACAUUCUUGUUAGGAUCCUCAUCUGAAAUUCACCAAACAGAGGCCUUCAGAAGAAAGGAAAGUCAGGAAUUGAAGGUGCAAAAUCCUAUGAACACACAGAAGGGAGAACACAUGGAGCCAGGCAAAUGCUCCUGGCUGCUGCAAGCAGUUCAGCAUAUGAACAAGGACUGAAUGCAAAUCCCACAAUUUUCAGAAGUAACAGAAGAUUUUGUUGAGAAAAUGCUUUAGUAAGUUGAGAUGUGGAAACAAUACCAAAGCUUCAGCAAGAACAAUUUGGACUACCUAUAGCAAAAGAAAACACAUUUCUUAUGGGAAUAAUCUACAAGAGUUGCACAGCCCAGAGGAGGGGAGCAUUGCCCACAGCAGAAGAAAAUUAGAUUAGGGACCACU